rnacentral:lncRNA from 1 species
ACAGUGGAAGGUCAGAAUGGGGAAGGCACUACUGAAGUACUGAGCGCCGCCAACCCCAAGUGCUUGAAUCUGAAAGAGGCAAAGGCAGACCAAGUCACAGAGCAGAUAGCUGAGCUUUUCAAGACAUGCAGCUGGCACCUAUCUCUGUGGACGAAAUGAUGUGCUAACUGCCCGUCUUGCUCUCUGUGAGUCUUUCCCUCACAGGAGAGCGUGCCAAUGCGGAUGGUUCACUUGCAUCUACUCUAGCCAUGCUUUGCUUUUGAUGAUGCAGGGAUGAAGAAAGGCUUGGUGACUCUGUGCCCCACUGCGCGGAGAAGACGGGGAGAGAAGGAAGAAGAUGGGGACAUAAGGAGAAGACGGGGAACUGGCUGAUUUGAGAUUAAUAACAUCAAAAAUGUGCUUGGAGGGGGAAGAUUUUCAUUCUUUGUGAUGUCCGUAUAUGAAAUAGUAUUAAUAGGGUGGAUGCAAUUCUGAGAAUUCCUAAGCCUGCGUUAGUCCUGUUAGAUAACUCUUGCUUCUGCUAAUCAUACUCAGAGCCCUUUGGGAGAUCUAAUUUCUCUCUCUCUCUCUCUCUCUCUCUCUCUCUCUCUCUCUCUCUCUCUCUCUCUCUCUCUCUCUCUCUCUCUCUCUCCUUUACCAGUACAUCUUAGCCUUCAUUGUUAUAACUCCCUUUGUUCACAUAAAUGGGUUUGUUGCUCAUUCCUUUUACAAACUGCAGUACUCCACUAGCUGCCAUUUGGAGAGAAGGUAUUCUUGUUCUCUCUAUCGUUGAUUAUAAAUUGAGUUUUAAUCGUUGAUUAUAAACUUUGUUAUGAAGCCUCAAGAGACAAAGCAUGCCAGCUCUCCACCUCUUUGAGAGAAAGCUGCACAGAGUUACACAGCCAAGAGGAGAGGGGAAGAGAGCCUUCCCAACCUGGCCUGUACUCCUUCCUGGCUUCACCUCAUUCGCUCCAUAAUUCCUCAAAGGCUAAAACUAUUUUUUUUAAGAUUUUAUUUAUUUUAUGUAUGUGAGUACACUGUAGCUGUCUUCAGACACACCGGAAGAGGGCAUCUGAUCCUAUUACAGAUGGUUGUGUGUCACCAUGUGGUUGCUGGGAAUUGAACUCAGGACCUCUGGAAGAGCAAUCAGUGCUCUUAACCACUGAACCAUCUCUCUAGUUUGCUAAAACUUUUUUAAAAAUUCACUCCAUUACCCUUCCUACAAAGGGGGUUGGAGGCAGGGGCUACUGUCUUGGAGUAUUUUAACAAUUCAGUGACAUGGCCGAGAUUUUCAAAAGACCUCCCAAUUCAUGCUGUCCAACAGAAAUGUAAUGCAAGCCAUGUCUGUAAUUUAGACUUGCAAGUAGCCACACUUCCAAAAGGCAGAGAAGAAGCUGGGGAAAUUAAUUAUAAUAACACAUUUUCUUUAAUCUGAUGUAUCCAAAAUAUUAUCAUUUCAAGACCUAGUCACCAAAUCUAUGUUAAUGGAAUAUUUUACAUUUAUUUUCUUUCCUACUAAGUCUCUAAAAGCCAAUGUGGAUUUUACACACUGAGACAGUGCACUUUCAUAAGAAAUACUCACUUUAUAUUUAGCUUUGUCAAGACUUGCAGUUGAAAAAAAAUAGAUUCACAUACACAAGUUGUGCCAAAAGUACUUAAAUAUUUCCUAAAAUCUGAAUCAAGUAUAAGUGUUUUAAAUUUAAAAUAAUUAAGAUGAAAUAAACAUGGAAAG